CUUAUCGCGGUUCGGGAGACUGCC
rnacentral:siRNA from 1 species